AAAAAAAGGCAAUAUUUACUUAUUUAUUUAUUUACUUAUUUAUUUAUUUAUUUAUUUAUUUAAUUUAUUUUUGAGACAGAUUCUCGCACUGUCGCCCGGGCUGGAGUGCAGUAGCAUGAUCUUAGCUCACUGCAAACUCCACCAGCCAGAUUCAAGCAAUUCUCCUGCCUCAGCCUCCCGAUUACAAGCACCUGCCACCAUGUCCAUCUAAUUAUUUGUAUUUUUAGAAGAGACUGGGUUUCACCAUGUUGGCCUGGCUGGACUCGAACUCCUGACCUUGUGAUUCACUUGCCUCGGCCUCCCAAAGUGCUGGGAUUACAGGCGUGAGCCACCACGCCCUGCCAAAAAAGGACUAAUUGCUGUGUUCCUAAUACAUGUAGAAUCUGAAUGGAAAAUAUCCCAAGGCAACUGGCAUGAAACUGGACUUUCAGAAAUUUCACUUUUUAAAAAUUUAGAUAGAUUUUUUAAAAAUUUCCACCUCCACCAAAGCAGUCUUAAUGUUUACUACACAUUUAUACUUGCAAAAUGCAAGCUCAUAUACUGUAAUGACUCUGUUUUUUGUUGUUGUCAUCUUAUGUAGCAGUCAGAUGAUUCUAGCACAUUGUCAAGAUUCAGAUUUAAAAUUUUAAAUUAAGAAACCUACAAAAGAUAUUAAUUAGUGGAAAUACACCAAUAGUCUUUCAACUUCAGCAAGUAAUUAUGUUUCCAAUUUUGGAGAAAAUAUGUAAUUUUUAAUCUAUAGGAGUUUUAAAAGUUGGAUGGGAGCAUGCAUGCCCUUCUUGCCAACAAAUACAUUUUAACUUAAAGAUGGAAAAUACAGAAUGUUUGGAAAAUUCUUGUGACAGUCACUCUAACGAAGGUAUCAUCCUUGCUUGUUGUUGUCACCAGUGAAUGUAUCGUACAUGAGGUAGAAAGUUGUGACUAAAAACUACCUCUGGUCCACCUACUCUGUUCCAGAGGAAGUAAUACUUCCUUCCCUACUUUGAGGAAGUCAUUCAGUUUUGAUACCAUGCUUUGCAUGUAAAUCUCUCUCUAUUGGAUCCUCAUCCAAGUGGUCAGAGGGAUGCUUGUUUGGUUGUUAAAAGAAAUUUUUGAAAAAUAAGGUAGAGAGCAGAAUUAUUUUAGAUAACAUCUGAAUGCCUGGGAGAGAAAAUAAAGGCACAGUUAUCUCUCUGCUUUUGUCUCCGUCUCUUGGUGUCCUGAAAUAUCCAUCUCAUUAUAAAGAAAAGAAUCAAAUUAAGGAAUAAACACAAGAAGAGUCAUCAUUUCUAACAUUGCCAAGUCCUAAGACAGCAAUAUGCUCUACUAAAUUAUAUAUUUUUAAUUUAAUUUCUUUAAAAGUAAAAUUUGCUAUUUUGAUGUCAAAAAUACAAAACAAAUACAAAAAUGUUUGUUACAAGGAUGUCUCAUUCAAGUUGUAAAUAGAGGUGGACAAACUGAGUUUUUUUCCUUUCAAUCACAUUGAUUAUUUUCUUCUACUUUAUUUUUACUAAAUUGAAUGCCUUGAUCUUGAGUGUUUCUUAAAGUUCAUCUUAAAAAUGAAACAAUUUUGUUUUUAUUCCUUUGCAUAGUCAGAAAGUUUUUAGAGGGAGAAAAAGUAUAAAAUCUGGCAUUGAAGGGUAGCCUCCCUCAAAGACAUGAAUAAUGUUGUAUUUUAAACAGGAUGAUCUAGAUGUGAAAAGGCCUUAAAGGGUAGAGGGAUGCCCCAAAUCAGAAGGCUUUUGGGGGGUCUCCCAAGAAGGUCAGAAGCAUUGAAUGUGUAAUAAGCGGGGGCCACUACAGCAACCAUUAUCUUCCCUCUGACAGAGCGGCUCACUGACCUGGCAUGCUGGCAAAUGGAGAGGAAAACUCUCCACCGAGAUGUAAAUUCCCCAUACUGGUCCCUCAUGAAUAUCUUGUCUCCAGGAUUCAAGCCAGUGACCUGGAAAACAAGGUUCCUCCCCAAUCAAAAUGACAGGCAGAGCUGGUUUCUUGUUAGGAAGACUACAAGGUGUGUAAAAAAAUUAUGAUUUCUGAGGGAAAAAAAAUGAGAUGUCACACAGAGCAAAAUAUUACUUUCAAAUGGUCCUCUGCAGUUCUUUUGAAUGGCAGCUGUUAAGAAUUCAAUUGUGUGUAUGACACACUGGAAUCCAGAAUGGAAGUUCUGUUGGGGGGCAGGAAUGAAUAGAAAUUUUCAAUUUAAAUACUCAUUUGAGAUUAUUUGAAUAUCUGUCAUUCUUUUUAGCCUAAAGGUUAAUUCUUGAAGAAAUAAUUUCCAUUAGUAACACAAAUUCCAACCUUGUCAAGUCCUCUUAUGUAAUGCAUCAGUGCUGAAAGGCAUACUCUUGCAAAACUGAACCUUUAUAUAUGUAAUCUUGGUUUGUAGACAAUGUUUUCCUACAGAAGUUUCAUUGAUUUAUCAGUUAUUUGUUUAUAGAGGAUUCAUUAAGGUAUGUUUACUUUUACUGAUAAUAUAAAAAAUCAUGAAUCAAGUAUUAAAAUGUAGAAACUAUUGAAAUUAUAAAAAAU
rnacentral:lncRNA from 10 species